UCGUUAGGAUAUGAUUUUUUUUUAUAUAGCCUACCGCCAUACCGGUGUAUUUGAGUACACAACGUUCGGAACGCAGCGCUGCGCGACUCUGUUUCAGACGGGACCCUUCUCAAUGUUGCGGUAAACAAGCAUGGCACGACUACGACUUUCUUUAUAGGUCCAUGACUGCGAGGCGUGGUAUUUCAGGCCAACUGGUAAAAGAGUGUGUCACGGCUUUCAAACAUAUAAACCAUAAAGCCUAUGGGCGCCUCGAGACUCGGGACGGACUUGUCAACGCGCUGUGGCAUCGCUUACUUGAUGUUGUUUUGAUUGAAGAUCGGCAGGUUGUAGUGGGUGAACGUGAAUGAACGUGUGCGUCUGUGUGUGUGUGUGUGUGUGUCAAAUGUAAUUUUAAAGUAACAAACAAACAAACUCAAAGCCGAUGCAUGCAUCCAAAACUUGCUGUUCAAAAACCAAAUAAACAAAUCAAAAACAGAGUCGUUAUUCGCUUCAAAUACUUUUUCUUUUCAAAACUUGGGAAUUAAUGCAGCGCGGUAC